GACUCAAUAGCACAACGGUUAGUGCGCCUGCUAGCAUUGAACGGAAGAGAGUGUAUGCAGGAGGUCCCUGUUCGAUUCGGGGUUGAGUCA